rnacentral:rRNA from 1 species
GUGCCAGCCGCCGCGGUAAUACGAAGGGGGCAAGCGUUGUUCGGAUUUACUGGGCGUAAAGGGCGCGCAGGCGGCGCGUCAAGUCGGGUGUGAAAGCCCCGGGCUCAACCUGGGAACUGCACUCGAGACUGACGCGCUAGAGUUCGGGAGAGGAUGGCGGAAUUCCCAGUGUAGAGGUGAAAUUCGUAGAUAUUGGGAAGAACACCGGUGGCGAAGGCGGCCAUCUGGACCGAGACUGACGCUGAGGCGCGAAAGCGUGGGGAGCAAACAGGAUUAGAUACCCCUGUAGUCC